AAACUUAGGAUAUGCUUAAACCCGAGGCCUUCAAAGCCCCAAAAAAGA
rnacentral:tRNA from 1 species